GCCGCCCCCUCGCAGCCCCCUGCCAGAACGGUGGCACGGCGGUGGGGGGCUCCUGCGCCUGCCCCCCCGGUUUCAACGGCACCCGCUGCGAGACCCCCGAGCCCACCAAGGCCUGCCGCAACGGGGGCACCCCGGUGGGCACCAAGUGCUUCUGCCCCCCCGGCUUCGGGGGCCCCCUCUGCGACCUCCCUGACCCCUCGGGCGCCUGCCACAAUGGGGGCACGGCCUUCGGGACCGCCUGCGUCUGCCCCCCCGGUUUUGGGGGGGCCACGUGCCAGCUCACCGAGCCCCCCGCCUCUUGCCUCAACGGGGGGACCCUGGAGGGGGGCGCUUGCCGGUGCCCCUCGGGAACCUGGGGACCCCGCUGCGAGUGUUUUGGUGCCGCCACCACCGCCACCACCACCACGGAUGAGAAGAUGACGGGGGUGGGGGGGGUAUCACGGGGAAGGGAGACCCCAGUCACAGCCCCCCCUGGAGGAAACACUACGCUCACAACCCCCCCAGCGAGCGACGGCACGGCGAUGACACGCCGGGAAAGCGACGGCGCGACCACGACGCCAAGAGGUGGGGAAGUCAAUGCGACACUCGGGACCCCCCCAGGAAGCAACAUGACGCCCACGGCCCCCCUGGGAAGCAACGUCACAGUUCUGGCCCCCCCAGAAAACAACAUGACGCUCACGUCCGCCCCAGAAAGUGAAACCACGGUGCCAACAACCUUGGAAAGCAACGCAGCGACGCAUGGGGAAGUCAACGCAACGCUCGUGACCCCCCCAGCAAGGAAUACAACGCCCCCGCCCCCCCCCGAAAGCAACACAACGCUCCUGGCCCCCCCUGAAAGCAACACGACAUUCCUGGCCCCCUCUGAAAGCGAAACCACGGAGCCAACAACCUUGGAAAGCAACACAACAAUGCGUGGGGAAGUCAACGCAACGCUUGUGACCCCCCCAGCAAGGAAUACAACGCUCCUGGCCCCCCCUGAAAGCAACAUAACACUCACAGUCCCCCCAGAAAGUGAAACCACGGAGCCAACAACCUUGGAAAACAAUACAACAAUGCAUGGGGAAGUCAACGCAACACUUGUGACCCCCCCAGCAAGGAAUACAACGCUUCUGCCCCCCCCCGAAAGUAAUAUGACAGUCGUGACCCCCCCAGAAAGCAACACGACAUUCACGGCCCCCCCCGAAAGUGAAACCACGGCACCAACGCCCUUGGAAAGCAACGCAACGACCACGCCGCCAACACAUGGGGAAGUCAACGCAACACUUGUGACCCCCCCAGGGAGAAACACAACACUCCUGGCCCCCCUGGAAAGCAAUGCCACAGUUCUGGCCCCCCUAGAAAGCAACACGACGUUCCUGGCCCCCCCCGAAAGCGAAACCACGGAGCCAACACCCUUGGAAAGCAACGCAACAAUGCCUUGGGAAGUCAACACAACGCUCGUGACCCCCCCCAAAAGCAACGUCACCCCCCCGACCGCCCCCACCAACAUGGCGGCCACCACGGGGACACCCCCGUCCCCUCCCAGCACCACCAGUGUCACCACUGUCACCAACAGCACUGUCUCGGCCAUGAUCUGCCUCUUCCUGCCGCACGGGUCCAGCCCUCCGGCCAUCACCUGCCUCAACGGCGGCGUCGCCAACCGCACCGAGUGCCUCUGCCCGCCUGGCUUCUCCGGCCUCACCUGCGAGAGGCCGGAUGCCGCCGCCCGCUGCGCCGCCGGCAGCACCGCUGUGGGCGACCGCUGCGUCUGCCCCCCGGGGCUGUCGGGACGCCGCUGCAACGUCCGCGACGAGGCCACCGCCUGCCAGCACGGGGGCACAGCCGUGGGCACCGAGUGCUAUUGCCCCCCGGGCUUCGAAGGUCCCCGGUGCGAGAGACAAGGUGCCACCACCACGACCGUGACCAUGACCACCACCAGCACCGCCACGCCCGCUCGCCCUACCACCAAGGCCACGCCGAGGAGCACCAGGAGAACCACCACCACCGCCAUCCCUACCACCGCAGGUUGGUGGCCCUUUGGCUUCCCGGGGCUCCUUUAGGAGACCCGGAGCCCCACCCAGGGAGGUCGGCGUCACUGUGGACCUUGAUGGAGGCUGCUCCAACCCCAAAGCCGUUGGUGUCGCCUUUUCUCCCCGUUCCGACCCCACCGAAUGCGCUGGGUGGGAGGAUGCCGUGGGAAAAGGGGGGUGCAGGGGGAGUACCCACGACCCCCCCUCUCCCCACAGACCCCUGCCUGAAUGGGGGGUACUGGACUGGGACCAUUUGCCUGUGUCCCCCCAACGUGGACGGAGCCCGCUGCCAGUUUGGGGCCUCGACCAUCAACAUCACAGCGGGUAAGACGUGGCGGGGAUGCCCCCAUUGUCCCCCCUAACCUUGGGGACUCACUGUGGGACCUCACCAACCUCCUCCUCCUCUUCCUCCCCAAGAGCUGGGUCCCAGCGUGGCGCUGAUGGCGCGCGUCACCAACCGCCGCUUCUCCGGGGACAUGGAGGACACCUCAUCCGCCGCCUUCCGCAGCUUCGCGGACGAGUUCAGCCGCACCGUGAGUACCCCAGCAUCGUGAUGGUGUCGCGACAGCGGCCCCAUGUCACAACGGGUGACACAUGUCUUCUUGUCCCCAGAUGGAUCGGGUCUACCAGAACGUCUCUGGCUACCACGGCACCCGGGUGCUGGCUCUGAUGUGAGUUUGUGGCCAACGGCGAGGAGGGGAUGGGAUGGGAUAGGGAGGAAGAUGGGGAUGAAGGGCAUGGGGAUGAAGAAGAAGAUAGGUACGGGGGUGAAGAAGGACAUGGGGAUGGAGAUGAGGUUGGGGACAGGGAUGAAGAUGGCGAUGAAGGGCAUGGGGAUGAAGAAGGGCAGCAUGGGGAUCAGGAAGGGCCUGGGGAUGAAGAUGAGGUUGAGGAGGAAGAUGAGGCUGAGGAGGAAUAUGGGGAUAAAGAAGGACAUGGGGAUGAAGAUGAGGUUGGGGAUGAAGAAGGGCCUGGGGAUGAUGAAGGGCGUGAAGUAGGGCAUGACGAUGGGGAUGAAGAAGGGGAUGAAGAGCACGGGGAUGGGAACAGGUGAGGAGCCCGCCGUGUCCCUCACCCCCCACCCUUUGUGCCCCCCAGGGAAGGCAGCGUGGUGGUGAACUACAAAGUCCUGCUGCAGCCUCCAGCCGGGGGCCAAGCCAACGCCAGCCUCGGCCAGAGGACUCGGGAGCUGCUGGAGGCUUCGAACGCGGCCAUCCAGCCCCAAAACUGCAGUGAAGGAGCGGGUGGGUGCUGGGGGGCGUAGGAUUGGGCCUCCUCACCCCAUUUCUUGCACCAAGGGGGCUCCGGUGACCCCCCCAAUCUCUUACAGAAGGGCUCUGCUUCGGUGCGCUCGCCACCCGGAGGGCCUUCGCCGCCGCGCCGAAGCUCAACGCCACCGGUGAGUGUGGGCAGUGGGGUGGUGGCGGGGAGUGGGACGGGGACGGGGUCUGAUCGGCAUCGCUGUCCCCUGCAGAGCUCUGCCGGAAGUACACGCCAGCCAACUUCAGCCACUUCUACUACCCCUACUGGAUGAAUAACAGCCUCCUCUGCAUCACCAACUGCACCCUCAACGUCCCCGGCACCAUCAACUGUGGCCCCGGGCUGUGCCGGGUGACGUUGGAUGGGCCCCGCUGCUUGUGAGCGCCGCCCGCCCGACCUUGCCCCCAAAUCCUGGCCUUUAGCCCCAGAUUUUGCCCCACGUGUCCGUCCCAACCUGCCCAAUGCUGGCUGAUAGCCAGGUUCUGGUCCUGAACCCAACCCUGUCCUAACCCAAAUCUGGUUCUGAUCACAGCGUUGGGACCCAACCCUCACCCCCACCCCAAGUCCUAUCCCUGCUGUGAACCCCAACCCCAAUCCUUGAACCCAAAUUCCAGAGUUUGAACCCCAAACCCCAAGCCUUGCCCUCCGAAAUCCAACUAUUAAUCUUCAGAUCCCAACUUUUUACCCCCAAAAUCCAAUCCUUGUCCCCCAAAGCCUAACCCUUGCUCUACAAAUCCCAACUUCUGUCCCCCAAACCCAAUCCUUGACCUCCAAACCCAACCCUUGACCUCCAAAUCCCAACUUUUGACCCCAAACCCCAUUACUUGUCCUCCAAAACCCCAAUCCUUGACCCCCCAAACCCCAACCCUUGACCCCAACCCAUGGACAUGGGGCUGGCUCUCCCACCUUCUCCCCGCCUCUGGGAGGGAUCCUGGGAACCUGAAGGAUCCUGACCCCCAAUGAAUACCCGGGGCCGGAUCUGGGGGUCCAGGACCCUGCCCAUGCUGUGUCUUCUCCUGCAGCUGCCCCGAUGUGCCCUGGUACCUCUCCUCCGGCGACCGCUGCCAGACCCACAUCAGCAAACUGGGGCUGGGGCUGGGCGUGGGGCUGGGGCUGGGGCUGACCCUCCUCAUCCUGCUCGUCCUCUGCAUCGUCCUCUCCAUCUGCUUGGCCCAGGGGAAGAGAAAAACGCCCAGCAUCAGGUGAAGGGAGCAGGGCAGGCAGCCGGGGGAGGUCCAGAGAGGAGGUCCAACACCCUCAGAAGCGCCCCUUUGCCUCAACUUGGAGGGGCAGCAGCUUUUCCCCGUGGGGUGGGUGGGUUCAGCCCCAUCCCACCCCAUGCAUGAGCCUCACGGGAGGCCUUGCUCCACAGCGAGGACCAUAGGUGGCCAGACGGCAAGCGCAACGCUCGUGCCACCGGCAUCUACCACGUCAACGGCAGAGGCUCGACGCUACGUCAAGGUGAGACCUGGUGGGGGCAAACCCAGACCCUUCAUGGGGAGAAGACCCUCACCAGAAAAUUCCUCACCAGAAUCUUCUCCCCUUCCAGGUCCCUACGCUCACAGCUCCUACAAGACCAACGCAGAGGUUGCAGACCCUCCUGUGCUGGUGGGUGCACAAGAUGGUGGCUGUGGUAGAGCCAUGGGGUGGGAUGAGUUGGGGUGGGAUGAGUUGGGGUGGGAUGUAAGGAAGCCUUCAAGCUCACCCAGUCCAAGCCAUCCAGGGAUGUCUCACAUGAUGCUGGGUUCCUCAAAGCCCCGAAGCCAAACCUGAUCUUGAAGACUCGCAACGGGGCCUCCAUGACUUCUCCAGGCCACCCCGGAUCUGGCCUCAAUGCUCCUUCCCUCUUCACAGGGGGAAGCAGAAGGUGCGGCGUCCCUGUGAGCUGCGAAGUGGCCCCCAAAACCAGCUUGAGGAGGGGCCAAGACCACCUCGAUGUCCUUCAUCACCCACCACACAGGACCCUUGGCUUGGGUGGCAGAGACCGCCGACCUCACCGUGUGGGAAAACCUCCUCCUCUCAGCAUUUCUCAUUUUUGGGGCAAAAGCAGUCGGGAUCCGGUUCUUCUGUGAGAGAAGAGGGGUCUCCCAUGGCCUUGGGGACCCCUUGCUGGAGAGGACACAAUAGCACCCAGGUCCCAUCCUUCCUUGCAAAGCUUCGCCUGGGCCGGAGCAGGAUGAGCCUCGUCCCCGUGGAAAUAUAUUUAAUUAUAUUUAUUAACGUAUUUUUGUUGUCUUCUGAAAAAUAAUGUGGGCAGCUGGGGUUGGGAGAGCACAGCCAAUGGCGUGCUUGGGCUGGGGGCUUGGGUCAUGGUUGGGAGGGGCUGGAAUUGAGACCGGGAGACCCAACCAUGGCUGGAAUUGAUCUCAGAAGACCCAACCAGGGUUGGAAUCGAUUUGGAAAGACCCAACUGUGGCUGAAAAUGAUCUCAGUAGACCAAACCAUGGUCGGAAUCGAUCUGGAAAGACCCAGCCUUGGCUGGAAACAGUCUCAGAAGACCCAAACAUGGUUGGAAUCGAUCUGGAAAGACCCAGACAAGGCUGGAAUAGAUCUCAGAGAACUCCGACACAGCUGGAAGCUGCCCAGGACAGCACGGACGUGACUGCUAAUGGGCUUGGCGGGUCCGGGGCGCGUUUGUUUGCUCAUUGAUGAAGAGGAAACGCCCCUGUUUGCAGAUCCCAGCUCGGAGGAGGGGGCGGACGCCCGGCUUUGUGUGUGCCCAUCCCAAAAGGCAAUAAAUAUUCUGCUGGUGCCA
rnacentral:lncRNA from 1 species